AGCAGCCGCGGUAAUUCCAGCUCCAAUAGCGUAUAUUAAAGUUGUUGCAGUUAAAAAGCUCGUAGUUGAAUUUCAGGCCUGGCUGGACGGUCCGCCCUUCGGGUGAGUACUGUCUGUGGUCGGGUCCUACCUUCUGGCGAAGCGUCAUGGCCUUAACCGGCCGUGGCGGGGAACCAGGACUUUUACUGUGAAAAAUUAGAGUGUUCAAAGCAGGCAAUCGCUUGGAUACAUUAGCAUGGAAUAAUGGAAUAGGACAAUGGUUCUAUUUGUUGGUUUCUAGGACCGUUGUAAUGAUUAAUAGGGAUAGUUGGGGGCAUUAGUAUUCAAUUGUCAGAGGUGAAAUUCUUGAAUUUAUUGAAGACUAACUACUGCGAAAGCAUUUGCCAAGGAUGUUUUCAUUAAUCAAGAACGAAAGUUAGGGGAUCGAAGACGAUCAGAUACCGUCGUAGU
rnacentral:rRNA from 1 species